UAGUUGCCCCCCAGGUCGGAGUACCUUUUUCCCAUUCAAAGCAUGCAGCAACCUUUUAUACACCGUUUACUGAUUUAUGCAAGGGUGCCUUGCAAUUGAAAUAAGCGCCCACUGCCUCGAAAAAAGAUCCCAGUCCUGUGGGAAACAUUGCAUUUUAUCAGAAAUAGGUGGGCAGCCUUGUUAUCGGAAGCAUCUAUUUGUCCCGUAUUACCUUUCAAGUGCGGUCCUCCCGUGGGAUCACUGACCCGCACGCUUCCAAGUGAUGCCUUUUGCGUGGCUUGAAACCGAGCACCAGCACGGACAGUCUCAGUGAUUUAGCAUGUCAAACACGAGGCUACAUUAUAACCUGACCGAUUCCGUAACGGGCCCGAAUACAGUUUAAUGCAUCGGACUUUCCGAGUAGCGCGUCUUCAAUAUUAACGGAGCAUUGCUGCGAAGCAAGAAAAUACAGCACUUGGAUGGAAUUAAUUUGUUUUAAUCAAUGGCUCUUCACCGACGAUCAAUUGAAAGGGAGCUUUAUCUAAUAGAUUAUGAUUAUCCUCCACACCAUGUGAACCACCCCCAAAAUACUGCAAUGAUCACCUGAGCAUUGCAAAGUCGAAACCGUUGCCUUGAUUGCACCUUAGGUGUCGAUUGCUGGCUUGGUGUGACAUAUUUACCACCUCUGGUCUCUUUUGUGGAGUUUAAGAGUGUCUACUAUAUUAUCUGGCAAUUGUUAAAACGUAUGCUAAUAUUUUUCUAAUUUAACUUGAAAAGACGGGGACAGCGACCGUAUUUUCCGGACUACAGAGUGUACCCCCGAUAUAAGACGCGCGCACUAAAAUUUAGAAGAAAAUAAUAAAUAUGUCUGUAUAUUAGUCGCACCGGACUAUAAUCCGCAGAUACACUUUCUGCUCCGCCGCUCCCAAUCUGUGGAACGCUCUCCCUGACCACCUGAGGGCCCCACAGACUGUGGAUGCUUUUUAAAAAGGCUUAAAAGCCCUUCUUUUUUUAAAAAAAAACUUUUUUUUUUAGAUGUAUGCAUACUAGUUAUAGCUAUUUGGCUGUUGUAGUUGUUAUUUUUAUUUAUUUAUUUAUUAUCUUUUUAUUUAUUUAUUAUUUUUUUAAUACAUUGUAGCACUUUAAGAUUGGUUACUCAAUAUAAAGUGAUUUUUACAAAUAAAAUAUAUUAUUAUUAUUAUUAUUGCCAAAAGUAUUUGACCACCUGCCUUGACUCACAUAUGAACUUUAGGUGCCAUCCCAUUCCUAACCCACAGGGUUCAAUAUGAUGUCGGUCCACCUUUUGCAGCUAUUACGGCUUCAACUCUUCUGGGAAGGCUGUCCACAAGGUUGCGGAGUGUGUUUAGAGGAAUUUUUCUUCCAUUGGUGUUCUAUCGGGUUCAGGUCAGGACUCUGUGCAGGCCAGUCAAGUUCAUCCACACUAGUCAUGUUGGAAGAGGAAGGGGCCCGCUCCAAACUGUUCCCACAAGGUUGGGAGCAUGGAACUGUCCAAAAUGUUUUGGUAUCCUGGAGCAUUCAAAGUUCCUUUCACAACCCAACACCAUAAUUCCUCGUCUUCCAUCGUCAUUGACCCACGAGCUAGGGAAAGCUAGCUCUCCAAUCAGCUAAACAGACUCAAUAACUCCACGGUGAGGUCUUUGUGAAUUUACGGAACUGAAACAAUACUGCCGUUGUAAGUAAAUAAUACUAGCACAGACACUCGUAAACGUGUUAGCGUCAUUGCAUUCCGAUAGCACAUACAAAUAUGCAUGAAAACCCCCCUACUGACAUCGCAUGUAGGACGGUUGAGUAAGUAUAAACAGUUUUAGUUAUAUUGUAAAACUUACAAAUGUUGCUUGGCGUGCUGAAUGAAUAAUCCAUACGAGUAGAAACGCUACGGACGGCUAGAAGACUGAACAGCACUCCGGUUAAAAAAUAAAAAAUCACUAUCUUUUUCUAGAUAAUUGUAUCUAAGUUAUCACAAAACUUUGUGUUACAUUGAGUUCAGCUCGCCCGGCGAGCAGACAAAAGCUGUCUUUGAUCCUGCCAAGCAAAAGGCUUGUAAAACUCCACUGUGUAGGAUGGGAAGCAACAUGAAGGUGUCAGUUUCUUUGAUGUAUUGUAAUCCACAGGAAGAUAUUGUCUUGACCCGAGAUCUACAAAACGGAGAGGAAGCAGGACCUGAUGCAAGCUCCAGGCACAUUUUCUUUGAACUGUUUUUACGACCUUUUCUUUGAACUGUUUUGUAACCAAAGGUGAUGGCUGUUUACGACCCCUGUCCCUUAGAAACAGCUGUUGCCAUGAAAUCAGGGAAAGUCCAAAUAAAAGAGGAGGCGUACAAUCUUUCGUCAGAGCGUGGGACAACACUGUGCAAGGAUGUCAUCAGUGUUUGAACCUGACACUAUCGAUAAAUGGAAGGGCACUGCAGCACCUGCAGGCGUGGCUCGGUUGGUAGAGCGGUGAUGAGGGUUCCAUGUUCGAUCCCCGCUUCCGCCAUCCUAGUCACUGCCGUUGUAUUCUUGGACCCACACUGGUUUAAAUGUAACUUAGAUCAUGGGUUUCACUAUGUA